GGCUUGGUAGUGGAAGGUCCACGCUGCUCUCCGAUGUUCAUCAAAUAUGCUUGGGAAGCACGACUCGCCUGUUCGAUUCAGGCCCGAGCCA